rnacentral:rRNA from 1 species
ACCCUUUAAUGUUUGAUGUUCUAACGUGGACCCGUGAUCCGGGUUGCGGACAGUGUCUGGUGGGUAGUUUGACUGGGGCGGUCUCCUCCUAAAGAGUAACGGAGGAGCACGAAGGUUGGCUAAUCCUGGUCGGACAUCAGGAGGUUAGUGCAAUGGCAUAAGCCAGCUUGACUGCGAGCGUGACGGCGCGAGCAGGUGCGAAAGCAGGUCAUAGUGAUCCGGUGGUUCUGAAUGGAAGGGCCAUCGCUCAACGGAUAAAAGGUACUCCGGGGAUAACAGGCUGAUACCGCCCAAGAGUUCAUAUCGACGGCGGUGUUUGGCACCUCGAUGUCGGCUCAUCACAUCCUGGGGCUGAAGUAGGUCCCAAGGGUAUGGCUGUUCGCCAUUUAAAGUGGUACGCGAGCUGGGUUUAGAACGUCGUGAGACAGUUCGGUCCCUAUCUGCCGUGGGCGCUGGAGAACUGAGGGGGGCUGCUCCUAGUACGAGAGGACCGGAGUGGACGCAUCACUGGUGUUCGGGUUGUCAUGCCAAUGGCACUGCCCGGUAGCUAAAUGCGGAAGAGAUAAGUGCUGAAAGCAUCUAAGCACGAAACUUGCCCCGAGAUGAGUUCUCCCUGAGACUUAAAGUCUCCUGAA